rnacentral:lncRNA from 1 species
GUGCAAAAGAAGAAAUAAGGGAGUGAGGGAGUGGGAUAGAGCAAGGGAGGGAGGGAGAAGAGGGAGGAAGUGGGAGAGAGAUGGGGAGAGGGAAGGGAAAAAAGGAGGAAGGAAGGCAGGAGAGAGAGAGGAGAGGGAGGGGGAGAGAGAGCCAGACAGAUAAGACCUCUUGGCAGAGGAAUAACUUGCUUUUCCAUACAAAGGAGUCAAAGCGAAUUCAUCUCAGCAAGAGAGGUCUGACAUUCUGGAAACUCAAUCUGUGAAUUGUGAACAUUUUGUCAGCAGAGGAAAAACAUGGUGAUUUGACUUGGUAAAAGAUCAGGAAGGACAAUAGGUUGUGAGUCAGAAGACUAAGUUUCUAGUUUUGGUCCUAUUACUAACUCACUGUGAGAUUGUAGG